GAUGAACGCUAGCGGGAGGCUUAAUACAUGCAAGUCGAACGGCAGCGCGUUGAACUUCGGUUCGAUGGCGGCGAGUGGCGAACGGGUGCGUAACGCGUACACAACUUGCCUACUACAGGAGGAUAGCCUCGGGAAACUGAGAAUAAUACUCCAUAGCAUUAUAAUGUCGCAUGGCAUAAUAAUUAAAGUUCCGAUGGUAGUAGAUAGGUGUGCGUAUGAUUAGAUAGUUGGUGAGGUAACGGCUCACCAAGUCGAUGAUCAUUAGGGGGCGUGAGAGCGUGAUCCCCCACACGGGUACUGAGACACGGACCCGACUCCUACGGGAGGCAGCAGUAAGGAAUAUUGGACAAUGGGGGCAACCCUGAUCCAGCCAUCCCGCGUGCAGGAUGACGGCUCUCUGAGUUGUAAACUGCUUUUAGAUAGGAAGAAACCUUUUCAUUUAUGAGAAGCUGACGGUACUAUCAGAAUAAGCACCGGCUAAUUCCG
rnacentral:rRNA from 1 species